ensembl:lncRNA
CUUAGAGUCUGAUUGGGGCAAGAGAGGAGAGAGGAAAAAGAGAAUUACUUAUAACCACGUAGGAAAAUAUGCAGACAAGUGAAUUUCAGAAAGCAAUAAUCCAUAGAAAAUAGAACAAGGUGAUACAAUGCAUCUUGAAGGGUUGGAAAAAUUUAGACAUGGCAGUUAAAUAAAGCUGGGUCUCGGAAAGUUAAGCAAUAGAUGCAAAAGCAGAGAGCUUGGAUAGGAGGUAUGACAUACGAUGAGAUACAUUUGCCAGAUAUGUGGGAUAUGAGGGAGAGUCAGAGAUACAAUUACAAAUUCAGGCAUCUUACGUGGGAAUCUUCAACUGAAAGUGAUGAGAUUGAAAUUUACUCAGCAAGAGUUUGGAAGAAAUGAUUGACCAAAGAGCUGUGCUUUAUAACAAGUAAUCAGAACCCAGUGAGGAAGAUACUUUAAGAAAACUAGUAGGUCUUUAUUGGACAAAGCUAGGUAAGUAGAAGAUAAUAAGGUUUCGAUCAUUGUAGGCCUAGGAGGGGAAUAGAAAAAUCUCUACUGGCUAAGCAUUAGAUAUGAGACCUGAAUAAGGAGAAGAUCUAAUGAUAACUUCAUGCUUUGAGUCCCUGGCAAUAUAUAUAUAUAUAUGUAAUUAUAAAAAAGUAAAGUACACAGAACUGAUUUUACAGAAAAAGUAGUAAAUCUAAUUUUGCCUUAAAAUACCUACAAGACUACAUCUCUAAGGAAAAAGUAAGGUUGGAGACUAGAAGGUAAGUGGAAUUCAAAGCAGAUGAUCAUUGAUAAACCCCAGUGUUAAAACUUCCUCAUGUAUAUGCAUUUAUAUCAUUAAUUUAUACUUUUCUUUAGCUUGAUUUUGAGUCAUUCAAAGGCAUGAAUUGCAUUUUACUCUGUGAAUCCCUAGUGCCCAAUACAGCAGCCUGAGCUCAGCAUAUGUAUAAUAUGGAUGACUGAAUGGCUAAGCUAAUAAAAUUAUAUAAUUCUUUCCAGACUCAGCAAGCAAGGCAGUGUGGACAAUGGUUGGCCUGGUCAUGGUGGAUAUUGAGGUCAUUCUGGCUGGACAGUGCAUCCAUUCUGUUUGCUCAGAACUCAUACUGUACUGAUGGUUUUCUCAAUCGGCAGUUCCCAUAUAUAUUGUUAUUGAACAAGAGAACUGGAGACACAAAAAUGAAACAGGAUAACAGACAACAAUGUUCAGAAAAUAUCUGUAAAGGAAACAAUCAGCCAUUGCCAAUCUUUUUGGGAAAUAGGAAGAAAUCCAAUAAAUGAAAUGUAGAUUAAUGAACUUCAUACAGAGUCUUGCCAAAUUGCCUAGGAUGACUUCAAACUCACAAUUCUCGUGCCUCAACCUCCUAAGUAGCUGGAAUUGCAGGCAUGUGCCAAAAUACC